GGCGUCCAGUCCAAACCCCUGGGGGCCCUGCUGGGCAAAGGCGCCCCUCCACCAGGAGCCAGAGACCCGCCCUCUCCCGGCCCGGACCCGAAGGGAAGCAGCAGCAGGGGCCUCCAGGACUGCACUCACUGGUCCUCGUUCCGGAAGACGCCCCACACCACACUGACGGCCACGCACAGCAGCGCCAGGAGCAGCAUGCAGACCUGAGGGCGCUUGUGGAAGUAGGGCAGGCUGUUGUCGGGGACCCUGAGGGCAGGCAGGCAGGUGGGGAGGUCAGCGGCCUGUGACCCUCACAGCCCUGCCUCUGCCCAGCACCCGGAGGGUCAGCUCAACUCCUGCCCAAAAGCCCGUGGCCUCCCCGUCUGUCCUCCUACUGUCCGCCGGGCUCUGCUCCCAAGGGCCACUCCUGGCCCUGUCCCUUCCUCUACUUUACCUUAUCUGUUAAACUCACCAUCCCUCACCUUUUAUUUCUAGAAGGGAGGCUCCCAAGGGCAGGGCAGGGCAGAGUGGGCAGGGGCAGUGCCUUGGGGGAAGCAACUGGACCUCAGCCAGUCGCUAAGCCGACCCCACCCGCAGGAGCCCUCAUCGGGUGCUGUGACCCCUCUUGCACAGCCCUCCCCGCUCCAGGCCCUCCCCCAAGCCCCCCGAGCCAAGCUUCCUGACCCCGUCGGACCUCGUCUAAACCCUUCCGUUUCCCACCUGCUCCACGACAAGCAGACCAGACCCCUGACCGCAGAGAACCUUCGGAGCCUGGAUCAGCAGCGCCGCCCGCCUGCUGCCCCCAGCCGACAUCCCCCGAGGGAUCCCACAGGCCCUGAGCCAGAACGGGAGGCCCACCCAGGGGCUGGAGGUGGGGCCCGUGAGCCCCCAGCCAGCACGGAGUGGGCGCCUGCUGUAAUGCCUGCACCGUGCCAGACUGACCGAGGGCUCAGCAAAGCUGUGGAGCCUCCGGGGGCCAGGUAACGGGAGGUGGGAGCAGACGGGCCACAAGGCAGCAGAGGGGGGCCAGCUGGGGGUCGCCCGGGGGCUCACCUGCAUCUGCAGAGCGGCAGCCGCUGGAGGAGCGGCGACAGGCAGCUGUAGAGGCCCGUGGAGGAGGCCAGGCAGAAGAUGCCGAUGAUGACGUAGACUGCAGGGCGGGGCGGGCGGUCAGGGGAGCCUGAAGGACGGCUCUGUGCCGCACUCCCUGGCAGGGUGACCGCCCCAAGGGAAGGAAGGGGUAGCCCCAGGCCCCUCCCGGUGAGGCCCCUGGACUCCCCCCUCCCCCGCCGCCCUGAGAGCCGGGGCCGGGGACCCACCGAGCUGGUCGUAGAAGUGGUAGAGCAGCACCAGCAUGGAGCAGCACAUGACCACAAACACGCAGAUCAUGACGGGCGUCACGUCCACAGCCUCAUCCUCGUGCUUCUCGGGCCCGUCGUCCCGCUUGUGUUUCAUGUACCUCCUUGAAAGACAAGAACGGGCUGGGGGACGCCCUACUGGCCGGCACCGCUCCUGGGGGCCGAGGGCCACAGACAUGGGGAAGGACAGGCAGGGGCAGCCUGACACAAGGGGUCUGGACAGGCUGAGGGACAGCUUGCCCGGAGGUGACCACCGUCACCUGCCCCGUCGGCCAGUCCCCCGUCCCCACCCACCAUGUGUACCUGGGGUCCCCCCCCGACGGAGCCAGUCCUGCCGGAGGCGGGGCUCCGGUCCCCAGGGCCAAGCUGUGGUGGCCGCAUGGGGGCCACCCUGGACCCUGGCCCUGUACCAACCCCACCACCGCCCUUCCCUGGACGGCCGGGGCGAGGUCUCCCGUGGAUGCCCCCGCCAGGCUGGGCCCGGGCCGGGAACCCUGAGGGCAGGACAGAAUCGUGGGGAGCGGGGCCCUCGGGGCUUUCAACGGGUCUCCUGGGUGUUUAUAGCUGCUGUUUUCCAGAAGGCUCUCUGGGCAUGCGGACUCUCGUGGUUACUUGCCCAGCAUUACGGCCGCCCAUCCGGGACGCACGCACACGCGUGGGCCACUCACUUCCUCACGUCCCGGCUCCCGGCCCAGUAGCCCCCGAGGGCAACGGUGCCCACAGCCAUGAUGAAGAUGAUGACCAUGUUGUAGUCCAGCAUGGGCUCCUUGGGGGCGUACAGUGCUGCCCGUACCACCCGGCCGAAAGUCUGCCUCAGGGAACACAAGAGAGCUAAGGUCGGGGGGGCCCCCCCGUCCCCUCGCCACCCAGAGGGCUGAGGCUGGCCCACUCGAGGAGCCGGGGGCCGGGAGAUCCCGCCUCACCCCACGCCCUCACCUGCUACUCCUGACCCCAGAGAAGCGGGCUCUGCCGGGAUGAGCUUCACACAAGGUGGGUGACAGGGCCGCGCAUGUGUGGGAACACAGACCCCGCCCCCAGACAAGCAUGAGUGAACGAGGGUGGACGUGGCCUCGGAAGCGGCCCGGAGACGGACGGUGGGUCCCUUGGGGGAGACGCGAAGCCUGCAGUGGGGAACCUGGCUAUCCCCAUGCCACCGUGUGCUGCAGCUCGCCUGCUCGGGACCCGGCUCCCCAAAUCAAAGACGCACCAGCCUCUGGUCAGACAGGGCCGGGCCGGGCGAGGGGCCGGGCAGGCCUGAGCAGGGGGUGACACUCAGGGUCUCUGGCACGGGGGAGGGCCGGGGUCUCCAUUCCUGACGUUCACAGCACUGCGGGCACACCGUCUCCUCAGGCACUGGGCCCAGCUGCAGACAGGGUGGGGGACGAGCCUACCUCAAAAAUGUCCAGCAUGUCUUUGUAGCUGAGCAGGGCCACGGGAAUGCCGAUCUCGUCGUACUGCGUCUUGUUGCCUCCUGGGGGGACCUGGGGGAGGGGGGAGAGGGAGGCCGGAUGGCUUAGCAAGGCCCACCCAGGGCGGGGCAGCUCUCCCUGAGGGGACGAGGGGAUGGAGGAGUCCUGCGUGUGUGUCAGGUGGGAGGGUCACACUGCCUUGAGGGCAGGCCUGCGGGCUCCGCCCCUCCCUCUGGGGGAGGGCAAGCUCCCCUUCCCUCUCAACCCUGGGCUUGGGUGGCGCAGGUCCGCCUUGAAGGGCCUGAGGGAGAGGGUGGCUCCUCAGGCAGCGGCCCAGAGCUCCGCCCCGGGCCAGGGCCCUCCAAGGCCACCAGUAGGAACCCCCACCCCCAGGGCCCCCGGCCGCCCAGGAGGCCCCGCGGCCGCACCAGCGCCUCCUUGCUGAUGAUGAGCAGCCCGCGCGCCCCGCUGCCCUGCGCCAGCCGCACUUUCUCGUAGAAGGUGCAGUUCCCCCGCGCCACCAGGGGGAUCUGGUUACUGAAGCCUUUGGCAGGGAGGUCGGCCGGAGAGCAGAGCACGGAGGUCGUCCAGUCCCGCACCUGCAGGAGAGACUGCAGGAGGGCGGCCUUCACGUGAGACGCUCCAGGGGAGCCAGGGCGCGCAGCAUCCUCGGGGAGACAGGUCGGCGGAGGCCACUGCGGCGACCACCGCCCCUACGCAGCCUCACCUCAGGCCCACAUGGUCUCAGCCCCACACACGCACGUGCACAAGCGUGUGUGCACACCCACCCCGAGCACAAGGCAGAUGAGAGGGGUACAGGGCGGCGUGUGCUCAGGAACCCUCCCCGCCUCUCUCGAGCCCGUCACAAACAGCACAAGGCGCGGGCGGGAGUGCUGGCCUUUGUUCCACCCGCCAAGCCAGGAACUGGGCACCCUGAGUCCCUCUGGGAGGAGUGAGGCCAGAGCAGGGAGCAGAGCAUCCAGGCUACCCCAAAGACGGGGCCGGACACAGGCCCUUCCUCUGUCCACAACGGCUCUCCGCAAGACCCGUCCUCCAGAGGACCUCGGGAGACCCAGGGGAGGAGUGGAGGGAGGGCAGCAAGCAAGACAGACAAGACCCUGCGUCAGACAAGACCCUGCGUCGGGAGGGGGCUCCCGCGCUGGCCGGUACUCACUGCUUUGCUGAGGUCGAGCGGCAGGUGGGCCCACUGCGGGUUGUAGAGGAUGCAGUAGUCUUUGCCUUUGGGGCCCCCAGUCUCGGACACCACGUGCACCAUGCCGUACUCACAGGCCACCUGGACAGGGGGCAGCAGUCAGAGAGCCGACACAGGGCCGGCCCACGGCACGACCUGGCUUGGGUGGUCCCUCGCUCCGACAGCACAGAUGGGAUACGACUGUCACAUCUUAGCGGGGGACACGAUGAGGAGGGCAGGGCCGAGCCUCCUCAGGGAGACCUGGGUGCUGACAGUGGCUGUGUCAGGUCCCCUCCCUGUGGCUCCAGUGGCAGGAAUGGGGGAGUCCUCCUGGGACUACAGGGAGAACGAGAGCCCCACGCCACUGCCAUAAGGCAAGAAGGGGAUGGGGAGUCAGCGGUGGCCCAGCAGGUUCCAGGCUCCCCGACAGGCCCCCACCCAGCGAGACCAGCAGGCUCAGGGCAGAAAUGGGGCGGCGGAGCUCGGGUCACGUGACCAGCACCUGCUGGGCCACAGGCCGGUGGGAACCCCUGGGUCAGAACCUUGACCUUCCCUGCUCAGACGCGUGGCAAGUGGACGGUGAGAGAGGCAGGGCUGCUCUGGGCAGGGGGCCCUUCAUGACAGGUGGCGUCACCACGACCCCAGCAGGGCCCAGGCAGCUGACAGAACCUCCUCCCCAGCACGUCCCGAGCAAGUACAGCAGCACUCCCGAUGGGCACGGGCAGCAGAAGUGCCCGGCUUCCUGGCCCACUACUCCCAGGAGGAUGACAAGGCCUCAAGUUCCUCCUGCCCAGGCCCGCCAGGCAGCAGGCUGCUCGUGGAGGGUCCCACAGAGUCCACGUGGACCCCACCCGCUCUGACACGGAGCAAGGUCGAGGGCAGCUGGCUGACUGCGGAGGACAGGGCGGGCUGGGCACACGGGCCAUUGGGGCCUUUGCUCCGAGUGUGAAUUCAGAGUGAGGUAGAGGCGCAGGCCCCAGAGUCCUUGGAACUCCAGCUCCUCCGCUGAGGGCAGCGGGGUGGUCAGGACCUGGGAGCGGCUUUAUCUACAUGAGAAACCAGUAUUGCACACGAGUGUCCCCACUGCCUGCUCGUCCCCUCCCGCCUGGACCGCUGCGUCCCUGCCGGGGCUGCUUCCUCCUAUAGGCCGAGCUCAGCUACGGAGCCCCCGCGAGGACCUCAGCCCCAGCGGGUCUCACGCUGUCUGGCCCUGGUCUGGGCUGCUCCCUGGGGCUGUGGGACCUGUGAGGGAGGACGGGUCCCAGAGAGAGCCUUGAGCAGGGAGCCCGGCCACGCCACGCCCACAGGGGCCUGGGCCCACCCCAGCCCCUUGGUUUCUUGGAGCUGGAGAGGUCCAACUGGACCCCAACUCUGCACACUCCGGCUCCUGGGGCCAUCCCUCUGUACCACCUGGAGGCUGAGACAGAGACUGCACCCCUCGGUGACAACAGGCAGUAGCCUGUCUGUGCGGGGACAGACCCCCACCCCCAUCUGGCCUUCCCAAGUUGCAGGCGGCGGUGCUCCGACUCAGCUGGGGUCCCGAGGGGCUGUGGCCCCAACAGCAGGCCUGGGGCACAGACCAGCUCGGAAGGCCAGGCCCUCUGUGAAUGUGUAACGGGGCCCAGCCGCUCCAGGAGCUUCUCCCCACUGAUCCACAUCCACUGGCGGCGUGGAGAGGAACCGGGGCCCCCACUGCCCCUGCCCAGCGCUUUGGUUUGUCGCCUGGAGCGAGGUGCUGACAGCCGAAUGGGCUGCGGGGUGUGCUCAGUGAGGCCAUGUUUGCAGGGCACGUGGGCACUGCCACCAGCGCUCAAGGGAGGGAAGUGUGGUGACCUCCCCACCCACCCCUGCCUGGCCAACCUCGUUCCCUCGACCAGAGGCAGGAUGAGAAGCCCCCUCUUCCAGGUUCUCCCCACCAGGCUGUCCCCAAGUACAGUGCCCAGCCCUGUGCCCCCACCCCAGGUCAGCCCUGCCCUGCCCCCCACCUUGGGCCACUGCAGGGGUUCUGUGAUCCCUCAACCCCCAGGCUGAAUCCGGCCCACCUUCUGUGUUUGUCAAUAAAGUUUUAUCAUAACA